AAAAUUAAACAGAUAUAAACCUACAUGGAUUCAAAACAGCAAAGAAAAUCUAGGAAUAUCACAGGAAACAAGACAUAAAAGAUGAACCUUGUAGAUUAGAUGCAAUUCUCAUUGAGACAAAAACAGAUGAAGUUGAUUUAAAACAACCUGGUUAGAUUGAACCAAUGAAAAAGAAACCCAAGGUAUUGAUCAUAAAGAAAUGGUCAAUAGCUUAUGUUAACUCAGCUUGAAAAGAAAAUCCAAUGUUGUUUAAGAAAUGCUGAUCACCCAAUUAGCUCAAAUACAAAUUUAGAAAGAUGGAUAUGCAUAUGUCAUCACUUCAAAAACCUGGAUUUUCUCAUGCUUCAUAUUUAUAAUUUUCAAAUUAUUUUUUUCAAAUAAUGUGGAUUAACUUGUUUGUCAAAAUGUUUUCUCUUCAAUUCUGCAAACCAUCUCAUCCCUUUUUGUAAAUCUUGCAGAACUCCAAUUUUCAUGCUCCAUACAAAUGACAGGUACUUAAUUUAUCACAUACAAAAGGAUAACGGUAAAUCUCCUUGUCUUAAACUUGCCGUGAUAAAGCAUACUUGCAAGCCAA
rnacentral:misc_RNA from 1 species